AAUGUAAACAAACACCCCGCACUCCCGCAGCCCAGUCUCAACACAUGCCAAUUUCAUUGUAUUAACAACAUAGACGAGAUGCGCAUGUAUGAAGCUUUCCAUUCUGCAUCUCCAAAAAAAUAAUUAUCAUGAGACUAUCGUGUAAAUAAUACUAUCAUUUUAAGUUCCCUUCCCGUGAGUCCCUCUCUAAUUUCAACGGAAGAAGCCAAGAUCCCCUCAUCAUCGACAGACUUCAUCAAAAUAAUCGAGAAUCAUGCACAGUCGCCGUCUUUCUAUGGAGAAAGUUGGAUUUUUCACGGGCAUGCUGGAGCAAGAACUAAAUGCAGCCAUGAAAAAAGUUCAGCGAUUAAAACGAAAGGAGCAAGAGGAGGAGGAAUGGUUCAGGUUCAUAGAAAAAUUAAGCUCCUUUGAAGAAAAUGGUCACCUUGUCGCAUCCCCUGAAUCUGCCAAAACAUUUGUAGUUGCAGGAAAUGGUGUCCCGAAAAAUGAAGAUGCUAAUCAAAAUUUCAAGAAGCAAGAAGACUCUGAUUAUUUUGAGAAUACCAACAGCAAAAAGGAUGAAUGCAGAGGUUUGAAUAAUAAACCAAAACCAGCUGACAAUAAUUCAAGGAGACCCACCAGAACAUUGUCUGGAAAUAUUGAUACCUUAUCUAAAUCGACUCAUUGCAGCGGUUGGAGAAGUGUUACUUCUAUUGAUCUGUCGGACAACUCAGAGGCAAAAUCCAUGAAAAUCCUGAAAGCAGCUCCUUCUCAUUGUUGGAAUAAGACAAAUUCUGCAUCAUAUUCAUCUUUAAAGCUCAAUGGACCUUUCACUGAGGGUGCGGAUGGAAGUAAUGUAUUGGAGGAAGCUCCAGCCACAAAAUUAACGCGGCUGCCAAGCUCUUCUCUAAAACUCAGAGAUCCACCUAAAGAAAUCUGGAAUGAGGAGGAUAGGCUGGAAGAAACUCAGUCCCGUGCCUCCAACAAACCAGUUCCACAUGCCUCUGCUUUGAAGGUGGAAAAUUGUACCAAUUGGUCCAGAAAUAGUAAUAUUGAAUUGAACAUCUCUGCGAAAGGAACACGAUCAGUAGCCCGCACCAAUAUUCCCAGGGCAACUGUUCCUCUGUCUCAGUUGAGAGUCCUCAACAGUCGUUUGGUGAUGGUUAUGUCCAGCAUUUACACUUUAAUUGACACUUUUGAAGAGGUGCCAGAAGAUGAAAAUUUCUUGAAAAAACGAAAUCAAGCCUUUGCUUUUUCAUCUCGACUCACAAGCAAUCACUUGUACAAUCUGAACAAGCUGGUGAGAGAAAUUGAAAAAUUACCGGUUCCCAGUUCACUCACUAAUGAAAAUUAUCUUAGUGGGCUGACACACAAGCUACGAAGUGCAUUUCAAUGUGCUUUAAGCGCAUCCCAGAUGUGCGAGCGCUAUCUUCAGUCAGGAAAACUAUUUCUGGUUGCAGACAAAAUAUUGGAGCUCCUGAAGUUAACUUUGGAACUUCUAAGCAGCAGUAGGAAAAAGACAGUGAAUACUCACCUAGAUAGAAUAAUUGAAAUAUCUGAGCUGAAUCUAAAAAUUGAAUCCAUUCUGAAGUUGAUUGAGUAUCGUAUAGUCAAAAACAGAGCUGAAGAAGCUCGAAAGAUUACAAGUCAGGUAUGGAACAAAACUCCUUCAGUGCGGCUUAAUACAAAAGCCAAGAGAAAAUUUGGCCAACCACAAAAACUCUCCAUGUAUUCUCAGAAUGCAAUGAAGAAAAAUACGAGAAGACCUUUAAGAAAACCUCUUCUUCCGGCAAGUGAUGUUGAUGUGGAACCCCGUGUGAUUACUUUAACGGAAUUAGUCCCUAGUCCUGUGACCACCCCAGCAGGUGAAAAGAACUUCCCCAUGAAACCCUCAGUGAAAAGUAUCUUUCCACAAACACGCAAGAGUACCUUAUCUCAAAAUAUUUCAUCCCAUCAGUUGCUGUCGCAUGUAUCAUCUUCUGGAGAAAAACAAGAUUGGGAGGACGGAAGGUUUGAACCCUCAGGAAAUAGAAAACUCUCCUAUGCAAAGUCAAGCAGUCCAAUGAAAGAGUCUUUAGACUGCGCAGACUGCAAAGUUGUGGAUGCUCCAUGCUCAAGAAAAGAAAGGAACCUCAGCAGGUUGCUCUUUACCGAAAAAUCAUGCGAAUCACGAGCUGAGAAAGACCUUGCAUACCCAUUUAAUAUUGGCAUGAUGUCUGUUGUAAAGGGUGACAUCAAUGAAACACCAUUAGAUAAGGAUCAUUGUUCCACGGUGAAUAUCUCGCCAGAAGAAUUUGAAUCAAUAAUCCAGUACAGAAAAUUGUGUGACAGUUUUAGGAGCCAGUCACCAUUGUACAGUGUUGACGAGUACCCAUGGGAAUCCCUAGAAGAGAUCAGUGAAACGUUAUGCCAUGAAAUCUUGACUCAAGUCACAAGCAAAUUGGAACUAGACUCCAUCAUCCGAAGAAUCUAUAAUCUAGAAUUCAGCUAGUAUUUACAGAGAAUGAAACGGCAUCAGUAGGCUAAUUCUAAACAAUGUAAACGUAUUUGCUGUAGUUUGGAUCAUCAGCUGUUAACAGCACUUUCUCUUAGACCCCUCAACUGAAUGCGACCCCAUCAGUGACGAGUCCAUCAGUGAGAGCUUCCUAAAUGCAAUUUCCUCCAUCUUCAGCCAAAAACCAGGCAGUAGACAAUUUAAAAACAUAGCAUUCAGCUAUCAAAUUAAACAUCAGCAUCAUGGAUGACAGGCCGCAACUCUCGGAGCUCCCUCACAGUCUUAGGAAUUGGCACAGAGGCAUGAAAUGCAGGUUAAUAGAUUUCACCUCCGAAGUGUGCCCUCAAUAUUUUGAAGUUGCAAUGGACUAUUUGUCUCAGCACCCUAGUAUUGCUAUUUUGCUGGUUGCAAUAGCUGUCACCUGGAUCAUUCCUGUCCUGGCUAUUUUACUGUUUAUCGGAUUGUCAGUGUCUGUUUUGAGUCUCUUCUUUUUCGCUGCCCUAGGAACUAUAAUCAUCUUUGCAUCGGGGAUGCUGGUUUCAUGGAUCGUCUUUUUAUGUACUGUUUUGAUCAUUGGAUUGGCAACAAUGGUUAUUGCUUGGUAUGUCUUCUCUUGUUUUGUUGAAUACAUUUUCAGUACCUACGAAGAUGAUGUACCAGUUUCACCCCGAACGAAGAAGAAGUGAGAAGUCGAGCAGUUCAUCACAUUUCGUAUAUUACGCGGUACCCACCUCAUUUGUUUUACUUUGCAUUAUUUUGUUAGCAAAGGGUUAAGGCCAGCCCCUUUUUAACAAAUUUAAAUGUUUAAGGGCCAUCGAUAAAUGAUGUCAGGUACUAAAGGUGGGGGUGGGGGGGAUAGGACUGUCUAACAAAUCCCUUUGAAAGGAGGAUGGGAGAAGGAAUCUGAUAGAGGGGUCGAAAUAGGGUAAAAGAAUUGAAAUGAGUGCCAGGCGUCAUUCAUGGACGGCCCUGCGGAUUAUUUUGUGGCUUUCAAAGUUUUCCCAGAAUGGAAUGUUUUUUCCUUGACUGAAAAUUGUUAAAGUUUAACCAUUAACUUUUUGUUUUAGUGGAGUCCUCAGAAGUUUAUUUUCAGUUGGAAACUGACAUAAUUAGACAAUUCUUAAAAAAAAAAUUGAUGUUAAAAUCGGCAUAAAAAUCAGUAUUAUCCUGAAAUCUGAACCCAAAGACAUAAGCUAUGCUGUCUUACUAUAUAAGUCAGUUUGUACCAAAGAAAUAGGCAUCAAAAUUAUAAGUUGACUUCCAAGAAAAUUUGUAGUGUGAGUAGUUAAAAAGCUUAGGAGACCCUAUUUCUGUAAAUGGUUUUCCUUUUAAGGUCUUAAUCUCGAAAAGAUUUGACGCAGCUCUCUUUUUAAGAUUGGAGGAUGGAAAACUAUGCAUCUCUCUUUUAUGUGUGUGACAUUAGAAGAUUUUUUUUCUAUUCUUUCUUUGUAGAUAUCUUGAACUUUUUUUAACGUUCAAUCUUAAUUAUUCCAUGACAUGAACUCCAAAUAGUCUCAACUUUGAAAUUCUAAGAUUUUUCCCUAAGCAGGGUGUCUGGUUGUCUGCAUCAGGAUUUUCUACCAGGAAUCAUCGAUGAUAUUAGAAUUUGAGGUCCAUCAGGAUUUAAUUCCGAUUUCAUCAGGAUUUGAGAAAAAAUCGGUCGUAAAAUCCAGGUUUUGAGGAAAGUCGGCUGUCCGAUUGGAUUUUUUCAUGCUUUCCUGUACGCUUAUGCAGAACUAUUAAUUUGUCUCUGCAAAGAAUCAGGAUUUGGAAAAAUUAUGAAAUCAGGGCUAAGCAGUAAAAAACCAGGAAAAAUCAGGAUUUCCCAAAAUGAAAAAAAAUUAGACACCCUGCUAAGACAAUCGAGAUGCGCAUACAAUUGAGCAAACAUUUUUUUCAUUCUAAUGGAAACCAGAAAGGUCAAAUCAAAAUAGAAAUCGUUAAGCCAAAUAGAGAGAGUCAGCAUACCAUAAUAUUGCUGUAUUUUUGGAGCAUCUUCUUCUUUUUUUUUUUUUGCCAUAAGAAAAACAAUAACGUAAAGAAGUGUUUUUUAAUCUUCCCGAGAACCUUUACAAAAUUACCUUUGAAAACCUCAUGUUACUAGUGUAUUGAAAAUGAAGAGUGAUCCAAAGACUGAAGUGAUACUUGAAAGAAUAUUGCCAAUCACCAAAGUGGCAACAGAGUUAAAGUAAAGCACCUAGAAAGUUAACCAUGAUGUGAUCUGGAAUCUCAUUUCCAAGGCCCACCAGAUUUUCGUUGUUAGGUAAUGAAAAUAUUGAAUUCUCUCUCUAUUUUUCACUACUGUAAUGUGCACUAGAUAAAACCAUUUUUUGUGUAUAUAUGUCUCUUGCUCUCUAAUGUACCUGGUAUUUUAGCACUUAGUGACUUAACAGAUUAUCCUUAGUUGAAACUUUAUAUGAAUUUCAAAUAAUUGUCAGUGGGUGGUUUAACAGGGUGUCAACAGAUUCAGAAAUGGUCCACACAAUUUCAAAUUGGGACCUUCCCAAUUUUAUAUUUUCGAGACCAAAAACACUGAAAAAGCUUUAUAACUACACCGUUGAAUCUAAACUUUUAUGGUGUUGGUUAAUGGCGAAAGUGAUUUAUUGUCCUAGGAGUUACGCGACAAGCAACUGGACACAUGCGUGAUAACAAGAAACAGGAGGGUAGUCUGCUAAGGCAGCCAUUCUAUGAGCAAAAAUUUCAUAUACCAGCCACGCUCAGUACUUAAUUUUUUCUCUGAGAGGGGAUGUGUAGUAAUAGUUUUGAGAGUCAAGAAAAAUUAAUUAAGAAUUCCAUAAAUUUUAUCGGAGAAUCUCAGUUGACAACCUGGUUAGAAUUAAACAGUAAUCCUGGCGUUGUUUUUUAAGCCGGUUUGACCCUAAAAUUUUUUAGUCCAAUUGUCUUAAAUUGUCAUUUUGAGGCGAAUCUCUGCCUUUAGCCAAGAAAGAAUUCUGCGACAGCAGUCUCACAUUGCAAAAUUUUUUUGUUGAUAGACAUCUACUUGUUUUUCUUCUAAUUUCAAGUCAUUUAAAAUUAAACAGUAAAGUAAAUAUCUUUAACUUUCAAAUAAAAUAACUGUAAAUUAUUUACAAAUAAACUAACAAUGGGUUAAUUAUGAUUGGUGAAAGGAUGUCUUUUAAAAUGUCAUUCACAUGGUUAUCCACCCUGAAUCGAACAUAUGUAUUUUACUUUUUGACACUUCCAACUUUUGAUCUCUGUCGUUUUACCCUAAUUUGUCACACAGUUCUAAUCCUGUCGUUUGCUACCCAAGAAGAGUCAUGUUUUGCAAUUUUAAUCUUUCUAAAAGUAAAAAUAGAAUUUAAGGUUGGAAUUUAAAUUUUCCAUGGGAUGAUUUUGAUGAUUUUUCAACUUCAGUGCAUUUUUUCAUCUUUGAACUUGUAUUUUUAAUUAUAGCUGAAUCAAAUUAUUUCAAACCAAUUAUGUUCAAAAAAACUUUUAUUUUUUCUACUCAUUGAGCAUAAUUAAAUACCAAGAAUAUCAACGAAAAUCAAAGAAUCUUAAGUUCCUGAGCUGCCUGAAAGAAUACCUCUUAAUACUCUUAUGCAUUGGUCUACAAUCAUUUUCCGAAUGCUCUGACCUUCCUGUCAGAAGUCCAGUUGAACCAGAGCAAAAUUCUCCAAAAUACAGGUCUUCUCUAAAAACAGGAAGGUCCAAAGCAAGGAUCUACUUGAGUGGUGCGUCACAGGUUGCUUUCAUAAAGACAUUUUUUAUAUUGUCUUCAAAAUCUUAUUGUUCUCUAUUUUUUACUCUCAUAUGUUAUAUGUAUAUUUUUUUUAAUAAAUCAAAAUCUCAUUGAA